rnacentral:rRNA from 1 species
GGGUUGUGAGGUUAAGCGAACAAGCGUACACGGUGGAUGCCCUGGCAGUCAGAGGCGAUGAAGGACGUGCUAAUCUGCGAAAAGCGCCGGUAAGGUGAUAUGAACCGUUAUAACCGGCGAUGUCCGAAUGGGGAAACCCGGUGCACUUCGGUGCAUCAUCGUUAGCUGAAUACAUAGGCUAACGAGGCGAACCGGGGGAACUGAAACAUCUAAGUACCCCGAGGAAAAGAAAUCAACCGAGAUUCCCCCAGUAGCGGCGAGCGAACGGGGAACAGCCCAGAGCCUGAAUCAGCUUGUGUGUCAGUGGAACGGUCUGGAAAGGCCGGCGAUACAGGGUGACAGCCCCGUACACGAAGGCACACAGGCUGUGAGCUCGAUGAGUAGGGCGGGACACGUGAUAUCCUGUCUGAAGAUGGGGGGACCAUCCUCCAAGGCUAAAUACUCCUGACUGACCGAUAGUGAACCAGUACCGUGAGGGAAAGGCGAAAAGAACCCCGGCGAGGGGAGUGAAACAGAACCUGAAACCGUGUACGUACAAGCAGUGGGAGCCUUCGUAAGAGGGUGACUGCGUACCUUUUGUAUAAUGGGUCAGCGACUUAUAUUCUGUAGCAAGGUUAACCGUAUAGGGGAGCCGAAGGGAAACCGAGUCUUAAUUGGGCGUUAAGUUGCAGGGUAUAGACCCGAAACCCGGUGAUCUAGCCAUGGGCAGGUUGAAGGUUGGGUAACACUAACUGGAGGACCGAACCGACUAAUGUUGAAAAAUUAGCGGAUGACCUGUGGCUGGGGGUGAAAGGCCAAUCAAACCGGGAGAUAGCUGGUUCUCCCCGAAAGCUAUUUAGGUAGCGCCUCGUGAACUCAUCUCCGGGGGUAGAGCACUGUUUCGGCUAGGGGGCCAUCCCGGCUUACCAACCCGAUGCAAACUGCGAAUACCGGAGAAUGUUAUCACGGGAGACACACGGCGGGUGCUAACGUCCGUCGUGAAGAGGGAAACAACCCAGACCGCCAGCUAAGGUCCCAAAGUCAUGGUUAAGUGGGAAACGAUGUGGGAAGGCCCAGACAGCCAGGAUGUUGGCUUAGAAGCAGCCAUCAUUUAAAGAAAGCGUAAUAGCUCACUGGUCGAGUCGGCCUGCGCGGAAGAUGUAACGGGGCUAAACCAUGCACCGAAGCUGCGGCAGCGACACUAUGUGUUGUUGGGUAGGGGAGCGUUCUGUAAGCCUGUGAAGGUGUGCUGUGAGGCAUGCUGGAGGUAUCAGAAGUGCGAAUGCUGACAUAAGUAACGAUAAAGCGGGUGAAAAGCCCGCUCGCCGGAAGACCAAGGGUUCCUGUCCAACGUUAAUCGGGGCAGGGUGAGUCGACCCCUAAGGCGAGGCCGAAAGGCGUAGUCGAUGGGAAACAGGUUAAUAUUCCUGUACUUGGUGUUACUGCGAAGGGGGGACGGAGAAGGCUAUGUCGGCCGGGCGACGGUUGUCCCGGUUUAAGCGUGUAGGCUGACUUUCCAGGCAAAUCCGGAAAGUUAAGGCUGAGGCGUGAUGACGAGGCACCACGGUGCUGAAGUGACAAAUGCCCUGCUUCCAGGAAAAGCCUCUAAGCAUCAGGUAACAUCAAAUCGUACCCCAAACCGACACAGGUGGUCAGGUAGAGAAUACCAAGGCGCUUGAGAGAACUCGGGUGAAGGAACUAGGCAAAAUGGUGCCGUAACUUCGGGAGAAGGCACGCUGACAUGUAGGUGAAGCCCCUGCGGGUGGAGCUGAAGUCAGUCGAAGAUACCAGCUGGCUGCAACUGUUUAUUAAAAACACAGCACUGUGCAAACACGAAAGUGGACGUAUACGGUGUGACGCCUGCCCGGUGCCGGAAGGUUAAUUGAUGGGGUUAUCGCAAGAGAAGCUCCUGAUCGAAGCCCCGGUAAACGGCGGCCGUAACUAUAACGGUCCUAAGGUAGCGAAAUUCCUUGUCGGGUAAGUUCCGACCUGCACGAAUGGCGUAAUGAUGGCCAGGCUGUCUCCACCCGAGACUCAGUGAAAUUGAACUCGCUGUGAAGAUGCAGUGUACCCGCGGCAAGACGGAAAGACCCCGUGAACCUUUACUACAGCUUGACACUGAACAUUGAGCCUUGAUGUGUAGGAUAGGUGGGAGGCUUUGAAGCGUGGACGCCAGUCUGCGUGGAGCCGACCUUGAAAUACCACCCUUUAAUGUUUGAUGUUCUAACCUGGCGCCGUGAUCCGGCGUGGGGACAGUGUCUGGUGGGUAGUUUGACUGGGGCGGUCUCCUCCCAAAGUGUAACGGAGGAGCACGAAGGUCAGCUAAUCCUGGUCGGACAUCAGGAGGUUAGUGCAAUGGCAUAAGCUGGCUUGACUGCGAGAGUGACGGCUCGAGCAGGUGCGAAAGCAGGUCAUAGUGAUCCGGUGGUUCUGUAUGGAAGGGCCAUCGCUCAACGGAUAAAAGGUACUCCGGGGAUAACAGGCUGAUACCGCCCAAGAGUUCAUAUCGACGGCGGUGUUUGGCACCUCGAUGUCGGCUCAUCACAUCCUGGGGCUGAAGUAGGUCCCAAGGGUAUGGCUGUUCGCCAUUUAAAGUGGUACGCGAGCUGGGUUUAGAACGUCGUGAGACAGUUCGGUCCCUAUCUGCCGUGGGCGCUGGAGAAUUGAGGGGGGCUGCUCCCAGUACGAGAGGACCGGAGUGGACGCAUCACUGGUGUUCGGGUUGUCAUGCCAAUGGCACUGCCCGGUAGCUAAAUGCGGAAGAGAUAAGUGCUGAAAGCAUCUAAGCACGAAACUUGCCCCGAGAUGAGUUCUCCCUGAGACUAUAAGUCUCCUGAAGGAACGUUGAAGACGACGACGUUGAUAGGCCGGGUGUGUAAGCGCAGCGAUGCGUUGAGCUAACCGGUACUAAUGAACCGUGAGGCUUAACCUUACAACGCCAAAGAAGU